rnacentral:rRNA from 2 species
ACCUGACUGCUAUCGGAUUGAUACUAAGCCAUGCGAGUCAUUGUAGCAAUACAAGGCAGACGGCUCAGUAACACGUAGUCAAUCUAACCUAUGGACGGGGAUAACCUCGGGAAACUGAGAAUAAUAUCCGAUAGGCCACUAUGCCUGGAAUGGUUUGUGGCCCAAAUGAUUUAUCGCCGUAGGAUGGGACUGCGGUCUAUCAGCUUGUUGGUGAGGUAAUGGCCCACCAAGGCUAUAACAGAUACGGGCUCUGAGAGGAGAGGCCCGGAGAUGGGUACUGAGACACGGACCCAGGCCCUAUGGGGCGCAGCAGGCGAGAAAACUUUGCAAUGUGCGAAAGCACGACAAGGUUAAUCCGAGUGUUUUCUGCUAAAGAAAUCUUUUACCGGUCUUAAAACCACCGGCGAAUAAGGGGUGGGCAAGUUCUGGUGUCAGCCGCCGCGGUAAAACCAGCACCUCAAGUGGUCAGGAGGAUUAUUGGGCCUAAAGCAUCCGUAGCCUGCCGUGUAAGUUUUCGGUUAAAUCUAUGCGCUCAACGCAUAGGCUGCCGGAAAUACUGCACGGCUAGGGAGUGGGAGAGGUAGACGGUACUCGGUAGGAAGGGGUAAAAUCCUCUGAUCUAUCGAUGACCCCCUGUGGCGAAGGCGGUCUACUAGAACACGUCCGACGGUGAGGGAUGAAAGCUGGGGGAACAAACCGGAUUAGAUACCCGGGUAGUCCCAGCUGUAAACAAUGCAAACUCAGUGAUGCAUUGGCGUAAGAGCCAGUGCAGUGCCGCAGGGAAGCCGUUAAGUUUGCCGCCUGGGAAGUACGUACGCAAGUAUGAAACUUAAAGGAAUUGGCGGGGGAGCACCACAAGGGGUGAAGCCUGCGGUUC